rnacentral:rRNA from 1 species
UACGUAGGGUGCAAGCGUUGUCCGGAAUUAUUGGGCGUAAAGAGCUCGUAGGCGGUCUGUCGCGUCUGCUGUGAAAACUCAGGGCUUAACCCUGAGCUUGCAGUGGGUACGGGCAGACUAGAGUGCGGUAGGGGAGACUGGAAUUCCUGGUGUAGCGGUGAAAUGCGCAGAUAUCAGAAGAAACACCGGUGGCGAAGGCGGGUCUCUGGGCCGUAAACUGACGCUGGAGGAGCGAAAGCAUGGGAGCGAACAGG